rnacentral:rRNA from 1 species
UACGUAGGGUGCGAGCGUUGUCCGGAAUUAUUGGGCGUAAAGGGCUCGUAGGCGGUCUGUCGCGUCGGGAGUGAAAACUCAGGGCUUAACCCUGAGCCUGCUUCCGAUACGGGCAGACUAGAGGUAUGCAGGGGAGAACGGAAUUCCUGGUGUAGCGGUGAAAUGCGCAGAUAUCAGGAAGAACACCCGUGGCGAAGGCAGCUCGCUGGGACGGUACUGACGCUGAGGCGCGAAAGCGUGGGGAGCAAACGGG